AUGGCGGUGUGCUGCCCGAAGUGGCAGUGCUUGGUUGGCCCGCUGUAGGCUAGCCUGCAAGUGCACAGGCCUGCUGCUGCACGCGCAAGUCCUUGGCGUACUAGACGUCGCAUGCGUAGGCCCUUAGCGGACAGGGACUGUUCUUGUAGGCCUGCUGCGCAAACGGCGCACGCACAAUGUGUAGUGCCAGUCCGUACGGGAAGUGACCUAUGGAUGGCCCACUUGCGCGUUACAGGACGCGCACACUGGUCUUGACCCUGCGUCAUGUGUGCGGACGAGACAUGCAUGCUGUGCGCACGUCCUAUGCGUGUGUGCGUGCGUGCGUGCGGAUGGGUCGUGCGCACUGUGUGCAUGCCCUGCGGCUACUGUGCAUGCAUGCGCGCGUUCACAGUGGCUAGCACCCACGUUGGUAAACUGUUUUCUCGUGGGAUUUUUCCUGCAAAUAGGUUUUCUCUUCUUUUAUCGUUUUCUGAUUUUUUUCUAAAU
rnacentral:lncRNA from 1 species